UGGGGAAUUUUGGACAAUGGGGGCAACCCUGAUCCAGCCAUGCCGCGUGAGUGAAGAAGGCCUUCGGGUUGUAAAGCUCUUUCGGCCGGGAAGAAAUCGCUCAAGCUAAUACCUUGGGGUGGAUGACGGUACCGGAAGAAGAAGCACCGGCUAACUACGUGCCAGCAGCCGCGGUAAUACGUAGGGUGCGAGCGUUAAUCGGAAUUACUGGGCGUAAAGCGUGCGCAGGCGGUUUCGUAAGACAGAUGUGAAAUCCCCGGGCUUAACCUGGGAACUGCGUUUGUGACUGCGAGACUUGAGUGCGGCAGAGGGGGGUGGAAUUCCACGUGUAGCAGUGAAAUGCGUAGAGAUGUGGAGGAACACCGAUGGCGAAGGCAGCCCCCUGGGUCGACACUGACGCUCAUGCACGAAAGCGUGGGGAGCAAACAGGAUUAGAUACCCCUGGUAGUCCACGCCCUAAACGAUGCGAACUAGGUGUUGGGGAAGGAGACUUCUUUAGUACCGUAGCUAACGCGUGAAGUUCGCCGCCUGGGGAGUACGGUCGCAAGAUUA
rnacentral:rRNA from 1 species